rnacentral:rRNA from 1 species
CCUACGGGAGGCAGCAGUGAGGAAUAUUGGUCAAUGGCCUGAAGGCUGAACCAGCCAUGCCGCGUGAAGGUCAGUGCCCUAUGGGCGUUAAACUUCUUUUGUGCGGGAGCAAUAAUGGUCACGUGUGGCCAGACGAGAGUACCGUACGAAUAAGCAUCGGCUAACUCCGGGCCAGCCGCCGCGGUAAUACGGGGGAUGCAAGCGUUAUCCGGCUUUAUUGGGUGUAACGGGUGCGUAGGCUGUGAGGUAAGUCAGCGGUGAAAUGCCCCCGCGCAACGGGGUGAAGGGCCAUUGAUACUGCCUUGCUGGAAUGCGGAUGCCGUGGGAGGAAUGUGUGGUGUAGCGGUGAAAUGCAUAGAUAUCACACAGAACACCGAUUGCGAAGGCAUCUCACGAAUCCGCGAUUGACGCUGAUGCACGAAAGCGUGGGUAUCAAACAGGAUUAGAUACCCCUGUAGUC